rnacentral:rRNA from 1 species
AGUGAACGCUGGCGGUAGGCCUAACACAUGCAAGUCGAACGGCAGCACAGAGGAGCUUGCUCCUUGGGUGGCGAGUGGCGGACGGGUGAGGAAUACAUCGGAAUCUACUCUGUCGUGGGGGAUAACGUAGGGAAACUUACGCUAAUACCGCAUACGACCUACGGGUGAAAGCAGGGGAUCUUCGGACCUUGCGCGAUUGAAUGAGCCGAUGUCGGAUUAGCUAGGUGGCGGGGUAAAGGCCCACCAAGGCGACGAUCCGUAGCUGGUCUGAGAGGAUGAUCAGCCACACUGGAACUGAGACACGGUCCAGACACCUACGGGAGGAAGCAGUGGGGAAUAUUGGACAAUGGGCGCAAGCCUGAUCCAGCCAUACCGCGUGGGUGAAGAAGGCCUUCGGGUUGUAAAGCCCUUUUGUUGGGAAAGAAAUCCAUCUGGUUAAUACCCGGGUGGGAUGACGGUACCCAAAGAAUAAGCACCGGCUAACUUCGUGCCAGCCGCCGCCGUAA